rnacentral:lncRNA from 1 species
CCUACGCUGUGCUUGGUCUCUAAGACGUAUCUGCAAGUGGCAUUUGGAACCCCGAGCUUCACACAGGUCUUGUGUUGGGAGACAUCCCCCUGUGUAUUCUGCCCUCUUUUCUCCACAUCCCAUGGCCGCCUGCCACGAAUGCUGUCUUUACUCAACAGCAUGGCUGUCACUUCAACUGGUGUGCACGUUCGGCCCCCAGGACCACCAAGGCCUCACAUCACAGGGUUUCCUUGGACGUCCCGCUGCUCGUGUCUUCUCCUGCAUAGCUUCAAGGCUCCACAGUUAAUCCAAGCCCAGGGAGGUCAAAGAAUCAAGUAUUUGAAGAACAUCAAAGGGGCUGUUUGGAGAAGCUUCACACUUCUUCAUAGACGGUAGCGUGCUGCUCAGCUGUGUGACUUGUCCCCGGAGCUGCUACUGAGUUGCGCUGAUGUUUAACGAGAAAGGGAGAUGGAAGCUACCCUAUACGUACGCCUGAUUUCUCUGAGAAAACAUCUGCGAGGCUGAUUCAGAGGGACCCACAACUGCCUUCUUGUUGUCAUAAAGUCUGCGGUGGAACAGAAAGGACUUGGGCCAGAGGGAGCCAAAACCCAUCAUUUUAAAUUGGGCUGAAAAAAGCCAUUCAGUUCCACUCCAUCUGAGCUUACAACAGCCUUUGCUCAGGCCUCAGAAGACCCCACCACCACCCUCUCCCGGUCCUGGUGCCCUGCAGGCCACGCUGACACAGACUAUAGGAAACAUCUUGGCUGCGUUUGGCUGGGAGGGGGACACAUC